ensembl:lncRNA
GAGAGAGAGAGAGAUUUAAAUGGGCUGGAGACGGAGAAAGGUGGAGCGACAGAGAGGAAGGAGGGGGGUCAAGAGGAAGGUUGUAAUUAUAAACAGAAGGCCUGCUAGAUAAAGAGACCAGGCUCUAUAGCUUAGCCUCGCGGCGCAGCUCUCCGAGGCUUCUCAACGGCGACCCACCAACGGUUGUGUGUUAAGGCUUUGUGCGCCGUGAGUGUAUGUGAUGUUCAGACAUGCACCUUGGUUUCCCGCGUGGUUGUGUGUGGUGUAAAGGUUAGCAUGGCACGGUGUUUGCAUGCUCAUGUUAAGCCACAGCCUAGCCUACCCACAUGGGUUUUUUUGCUAUUUUGAGUCUUGCUUUCCGUCUUAUUUGCAUUUCAGGUCGGUGCAGAACGCUCACCUCGCCAGACAUGAAAGACUAUAAAAGGGCGACACCUUUAGACAGGCAGGGGCAGAUAGCAUCGCUGACACUGUCACUGACCAUGACCACCGGAGCCAUAUUAGUGCUUAUCGGCUCAUCACCGGCCCGCCUGAUUAAAGCGAUUCAUUCGGAGGUUGAGUGUAGAUGGUUGGUGUGGCUGAUUCUCUCUGACCUUUUCUUAUGGCUGACUUUCCUCAGAAAGGCUGACCGCACGGCGGUUUCUAGAAAUCAAUUGAAAUCACAUUGACAUCGUUGGCGUUUUAUUUUUCCUCGUCUCGCACUCAAAAUGGUUCAAUGUGACCUUUUUGUCGAAAGCGACAUGAACACCAGGAUUUUCAUUUCAGUUGUCGCCCAAGCGUGCCCGUGUUUACAUAAUACAUACACACGUGAAGGCUCUUUGUUGUGGCCGUCAUCCGGAACAACCUGCUGCUCGAUACAAAACCUGGAGGGGAAGGGCUUCGAGUCCUCAAGCAACAUACAGUGUGUGUGUGUGUGUGUGUGUCUCUCUGUGUGUGAGUGUGUCCCUGUGUGUAUCUGUGUGCGUCUGUCCGUCUUCGUCCGGCCAUUCGUGUGUCCCUGUCCUUGUCUGUGUUUGUGUGUGUGUGUGAGUGUGUGUGUGUGUGCGCACGUUCAAUCGCCCUCAUUCUUGCGCAUCCGCCAGUAACACCCGGAGUCAAUUUGGUUUGACUCCCAACAGGCCCACAGGUCGCUGUUGGAGGGGUGAGGGUCAGCAAGGGGUCCAGGGGGGCUGCCUCUGUGGAUGUAGAUCCAUCAGCCACGCGUCAGGACCCUGUCCUAUAGUAGACCCCAUGGCGCCUGAGCAAUCUCAGCGCUCACAGUACCGGUCUAGCCCCGAUGGCACACUGUGUUUUGGGUUUUGGUUGGGUUUAUUUUCCAUUCCUUAUAUUUCCUUUUACUAAGUGCGCCUGUCGCUAUGGCAGGUGUGUGCUCGGUGCACGUUGUGGUAGGCUGGUCACAUGCACGGUUUUCACCUACACACACGCGCAAAAGACUGACCCUGAUUGGUGCGCUUCCACACACUUGCACACACCUGUAUGCUUGUGCACGCUGACGCAUGCACGCACACACACACACACAGGCAUACACUUUCACACUUUCACAUUAUGCACAUAACUGACCCAUCAGCUACACAUUUUUAACACAGGCACACACACACACACACACACACACACACACACACACACACACACACACACACACACACACACACACACACACACACACACACACACACACACAGCCCAUCACCCACUGACUGAUAACACACAGGUACACACACUCAUCUAUCUUUCUCAGAACACACACACACGCACACGAUCUGUCGCACACACUGAUAACACAUAGAAGGAAAGACUUACACACACACACACACACACACACACACACACACACACACACACACACACACACACACACACACACACACACACACUCACAACCCAUCACUCACACACUGAUAACACACAGGUGCCCACACACACAAACACAGUGACACUUGGUCUCAACUGUCUCUCCCUGUCAGACAGAAUGGGGAGGAGGAGGAGGUUAGGAGGAGGAGGAGGAGGAGGAGGGAAGCUGGCAGGCUGACUGUCAAGAUGGCGGCCGAUCAUCUCCAUGAUUUCAAACUUAAUUAACCUGGGCGGCUCUCGCUGCUCACCGGCCCAUCACAGAGACAGAGAAAGACAGAGCAAGGUGGAGAGAGACUCACAUAAAGAGAGGCAGAGAGAGACAGAGAGAGAGGUGGAGAGAGACUCACACAAAGGCAGAGAGAGAGAGACGAAGAGGGAGAGAGGGUAUAAACAUUAAAUAUUCUUCAUUACGUCCAUCCUCUCAUUCACAGGGUGAGAGACACCGAUAGAUAUUGUGAGCGCAUGUAUAGAGAGUCUAAGCAUUCCUUCGUCAUUUCCGCUCAGACGGAGAGAGAGAUCUGAUUCAGACGGAGAGAGAGAGCUUCAUCUACGCUCUGGUUCCAACUGCAGCAAGUCCAGGGUGGAACUGAAGCCCAACCUGUAGCGUGUGUGUGUGUGUGUGUGUGUGUGUGUGUGUGUGUGUGUGUGUGUGUGUGUGUGUGUGUUAAUAUACAAACACGCACCACACCAGUUUGACUAUCUGGCGAAAUCUAUAUUUUUGUUUUCCUCCUCUGUACUCUGUGUUUUUGUUAUGGUUGUGUGUGUGUGUGUGUGUGAUUGUGUGUGCGUGUGUGUGCUGCUACGUGUGUGGGUGUGAUUACAACAACCGUUGGUAUACAGAUCAGCCACCGGCUCGCCCGAAACCUCCAGCCUUCACUCCCACCAAUUCUCCUGUUCCGUUUGUGUACUGUGGACUGUAACCUCGUCGACCGCUCAGCCUCGCUCACCUCCUCCCCAGACACCUGACUCAGCAUCGGACUCUGUCCGUCUAUCUGUCCGUCGGUCUAUUUCUCCAUCUGUCCACACAGUGUGUUUGUGUGGGUGUGUGUGUGUGCGUGCUUGUGCACAGUGCGGGCGGUCAUGUGUGAAUGCGCAAACAGACAGUGGCUGAUGAGGUUCUUUAUACACACCCCCACUGUUUGACGUACACACAGGGAGAUGGAGUGGUGGAGUGUUGGACUGACGAGACCUGUCGCCUCUUCUGUUUUUCAUUCUAAACCUUCUUGUGCCAAACUACACUUAAUUCAUUCUCUUCCAAUUCCGGUAUUUCUGCUCACUUUCCAUUCAAUCACGGCCUCUGAUUUUCGUAUUCUCUUUAUCUGUAUCCUUCUUGCUCUCUCUCUCUCUCUCUCUCUCUCUCUCUCUCUCUCUCUCUCUCUCUCAGUGGCAAAAAAAUACAAUCUCCUCUUCCCUUUAUCUUUUAUUAUCCAAUGUCUGGCUGUCUCAUUUAAGACGCUGACAUUUCGUAUGAGAAGCAUCACUGCCACAGACCCGUAUAAAAACACGCGCGCACACACAUGCACACACACAUGAACCCAUACACACAUACAUUACCACAUGCACACACAUACACAAACACACACACCGACACAGGUACACACACAUUAAGUCACACAAACACACAGACGUACGCACACUUUAAGUCCCAACACACACACACACAGGUACACACACACAUCAACUUUCACACAUACACACGCACAAACACACGCACCACAUGAACUCACCCAUGUACACACACAUUAACUCACACACGCAUUAGCUCACACGUGCAAGAGGAGGAGUGGAUACGCAAAGGGAAAGGUCAUGCGUGUUCUCCCUGGACUUAAUCACCCACUCUCAUUGAGUGGCUGGGUGGCUCGCUCACGCUUGAUUGAUUGUGUGUUUUUGUGUGUGUUCUGUGUUUGUGUGUGUGUGUGUGUUUGUGUGUGUGUUUUAUGUGAUCAUGAAUCUUAGUGCAUGCAAAGGCAAUUGAAACAUGGGAGAUUGAUCCUUUAGUGUGCAAUGGACAUGUGUGUAUUUUUUUUUAUGCACUUGGUUUUGCGCACAUACAAAAGUAUAUAUACUGUCUAAAAAAAAAAAAAAUAUAU